CCCCAUCCAAUAGGCUCAUGGUCCCUGAUGGUCCUGGACCACUGAUUUGAGGCCUUUCUGCUUCCUUUGAUUCAGUCUUUGGCAGAGACCCAGGAGCAGGAGUCCUUGAUGGCACCUGGCCCUUUCUAGUCACCGACAAGGGAAACCUGAGAAACUAUUCUCAGAAAUGGAACUAAAUUGUGAGUGAAUCUGUCCCCAUCUGGAGAAGAGAGGAAGAUUUGGGGCAGCAACAAAGGCUCCUUUGAUUUCUGUUAAUUAACUACUUUGGACUCUGGGGGUCUGGAGUGGCUUGCGUUUGACACACAAAGAAUCCGGGGCAAGGAUGAUACCCACACACAGGGUGUCUGCACUGGAAAGGGCUCCGUGUAUUUACCUGUAGGGCAAUUCAAUUAAAACUCAAGAAAGGGGUAAAUCUAUGAGAUUAGCUCCAGGAACAAUGGCGCUGAUUGUGGCUGGCCCUCACCAUCCCUACGAAAGCAGAUGUUAAACAAAUAUUUUGAUGCCUCCAAUCAGCCCCAGUGUGAAUCUCCUGUUUUUGUUUUUCAUUAUCUCCAGAGAUGGGAAUUCUACAGACUUCAUCAGUAGCCCACUUUGGUGAUCUAUUUAAAAUUGGUGAUCUAUUUAAAAGACUCCAUAGAGAGAACUUGAUUGUAAAUAUCCAAAUGGAGGGGCAUGAUUCAUUAAUAUAGGGACAUUCUGGGGUUGUCCAUUCGGCCUUUGCUCCUCCCCAUUCUCAGAAGCACCCUUCAUCACCAGAGAGGUUUCUUGGACAUUUGUGGCAGGCUCAGGAGGAAGAGAAGAGGUAGAGGGGGAAAAGUGUAUAGACUGGGGGCUGGGGGCAAUAUUGCUGGGAGGACCCUCAAAGGAAGCCACUGGAGUCUUCUAGAUGUCUGGAAGAGAGGAGUAGUUGAGCAGCUGCAGUGUGACACAAUGGAAAACUAAUUUAAGAAGUGUCCUGGGCCACAUAUUCCCUUCAUGACACAGCAUUUGUCUCCUCCAGAGGAUACAGCACCAAGGCGCCAUCUUGGAAGUAGACUGGAGCUCUUAGCAGACCAGAACCUGUGGGCAUAUUAUGAAUAUUCAGUGAAACAACGUGUGUGCUCACCAGGCAGGAAGAGCUCAGCAAAUGGUGGCUGGUCUGGAAAUUAUUGUCAUCACUAUAAUCCUCAUCGACAUCAUCAGCCUUAUUGUCAUCAUCAUCAACCUCAUCAGUGUCAUCAUCAGCCUCAUCAACGUCAUCAUCAGCUUCAUCACUGUCAUCAUCAGCCCUUUGUCAUCAUCAUCAUCCACCUUGCUGUUCUCUUCCUUGUUGACAUCAUUAUCCUCAUCCUCCUCAUUACCAUCAACAGCAUUAUUUUUAUUUUUUAUUCUUCCACCUGUAAGAGUUUCUUUUCCUCCCUCUUAUUGUUUUCCUCUUGGGGUGACUAGUGGUGAAGGAAGUGUCAGAGGCAAUGACCUCACAGCUGUCAUUGCCAUGGGUGACACCUCCCAGAAAGAUCUUACUGGAACUUUCAGUCCAGGGGAGUUUCUGCUGUUCCAGGAUGGAGGAAAUGUUCAAGAACUGUGGAGCAUCUGAGAUUUUUUCCUACUUUUGAUGUCCACCUAGUCAAAGUUCAGCCCUCCAGGAUCUACAGGUGACCAAGAGCCUGCUGUCUGGUUAUGGAAGGUCUCGGCUUUGGUUGUGUCAAUGAAUGAAGACCAGGACAGUCACAGUUGUAUGAGGAGGCUGGGGGCAUCCCUUACAGUCCCUUUGAGGGAGGUGCAGUCCUUGUAGAUGGAUGACCAUAGAGAACCAGCUUCUCUGCUGAACCAGGUAAGUGCUGUAGAUGAGGCCACCAGGCUGUUGGCUACCUUGAAGGGCACUGCAGGGAGGGAGUGCUUCUGUCAGUGUGUGGAGGCAGAGAUAAGGCUCGGACAGUGGCAGGACUUCAGGGAUAUUUGUUGUGACUGUGUCACACAGCCAGAGCCACCUCCCCCAACCUUGGAGGCUGCUGACUCUGCCCCACCCUUCACUACACACCCAGCAGAAUAGAGCGGUCACUGGCCAAAGGGUCAGGGGCUUCGAGGAAACUUAGCCUCUGUGGCCAACACCUGGCUCUCUGGAUCAGCCAUGGCUUAGCUCCUGUCCCAAAAAACACUCUGUAUCUCUGAAAAGUGCUAUAGGCCUGGCCCCUCAAGGCCCGGAAGCCCCAGGAAAGGCCUCCAUGGGUGGAGCAGGGGCUGGUGUCAAGCAGGCGCUCUGCAUAGGCACAGAUCUCUGCAUGAUUGAUGCUGGAAAGGCCAAGCUUUCACAGGAUACCCUCGAUUUUACUCAGGCCCACAAAGCCCUUGGGGUUGUGCCUCGAUUUUACUCUCGAUUUUACUCAGGCCCACAAAGCCAGUGGGGCUGGCUGCCUCAGCGGCCGCAGUUCCUCACCGAUUUCAGUGCCCACGCUUACUGCUCUGUGACAGAAGUUUCCCACAUUGAAGAGGUGGAGCCUGUUUCCUACCUGAGAAUCUGGACUGGCCUCAGGACUUGCUUUGACCAAUAGCCAGUGGCGGGUGUGAGGGUGUACUAGUUCUGAGCCUAGCUCUCAAGAGGAUGUUCAUAGUCUGCCUGCUCUCUCUUGCACCGCUGGUGUGCUACAGUAGCCUUCGAUGAGACCAGCCUACACCAGCCAACAGCCAAACACCCUUGGAUUCACAACCAAACUCAUCCAAAAUCAGUUGAGUCCAGAGGAGAUCUCCCAACCCUCAGCCUUGACUCAUGGCUAUAAAUAAUAAAUGAUUAUCAUUUUAAGCCACUGGAUUUUGGGAUUGGCUGUUAUGCAGCAAUAGCUAACUGAUGCACCUGUGAACUUACCCACCCACUUCCAACACUUAAUAAUGGUUUGAGGGAUGACAAAUGCUGGGGUUUGCUACUGACAACAUUCAUAUUCAUCAUGAUCAUAAUCAUCUUAUUAACACCAUAUAUUGGGCAUCAUCAGCUUCCCGCAGCCCCGUGCUAGAGACUUUACAUAUAGCAUAUGCUUGGACCUUCCCAACCACACUGGGAGGCAGGUAUUAUUCCUCCACAUUUGACAGGUGAUGAAACUGAGAUGCAGAGAAGUUAACUAAUUUGCCUGAGGUCACACGGACAAUGAGUAGCAGUCACAGAAUUCAGACCGUUCCUGUCUGCCUCAUGCAAAUGAAAUAUUCUCACGAAAAAUACAUUCAGAGAGCACUGUGCAGCCCCAGCUCCCUCCCCCCAGGUCCCAAGCUUCCUCCUGACUUUGAAUCUUGGGAAUCUAACUGGGGACCAGAGGGCAGUGCAUGCAAUGGCCUCAGUGCCAUCAAAACCAGCAUCUUUUACUUUAAACAGCCGAGGCAGGAGAAUCGCUUGAACCCGGGAGGUGGUGGUUCCAGUGAGCUGAGAUUGCGCCACUGCUCUCCAGCCUGGGUGACAGAGAGAGACUCCGUCUCAAAAUAAUAAAUAAAUACUUAGCUUCUGAUCAGAAGAGCUGCCCAACUUGAUCUCCGGAGAGCUCACAUGAACUGACUUCUUUCCCAGGGAGCCGUCCUGAUUCAAAAUCCAGGCAUAAGCCAGGAGUGGUCCCCCUUGAGUGACUCAGAGUUUCAGAGAGAGGCUGUGCAUAGGUCUGGUUAACCUAAUGUGCACAAUAAAAAUUUUUAUUAAAAAGAAACGAAGAAGCUGAGGAGAUGGCAAUUGGCCAUGGAAGGGCAUUAUUUUUUAUUGGAAUCAGGAUUCUUUGAUUUAAAAAAUACAUAAACCCUCAAUUUUCUUUCUCUCACUUGGCUUAGCAGCCUGUGAAAAGUUUCCAAAGGCAAUUUCAAUAUUGGCGGAGAGAACAUCUCUGGACUUGCUUGCUUUUCCUGAACUGUCUGUUCUGAGAAUUCAAGUCACAGCCACCCAGACUCCCAGCAUGUGUGCCCUCUCGCCAGGGCCCCGGGGCCGUAUCCUUAAACUUGAGGCCAAAUAUCCAUCCCAACACUUGCCUCUGUGUUCUCAUCCACAUGCUCUUAAGGUUUUGCCAAGACAGACUGGAUUUUAUUUUAACAAAUAGGUUUCUAGAGGUUUCGAUUGAGAGGUAAAAUUCCUGUGCUUUGUGAAGAGGCAACAAGCUCAUGGAUGUGAUGAUUGCUCUGCAUAACUGAGGAUUCUGGUUAUCCGAGAGCCUCUAUGAACUCAAGGGGAAUGAUCCUUAGAUCAGAGCUCACUGCUUGUCAGGUAGCUUUUAAUAAGUUGCGUGCUGUGCGCAUUUUCUGGGUCAUCUCAUUUAAUUUUCACAACAGCCCUUUGAGGCAGGUUUUUUAUAAUUUCUAUUUCACAGAGGCGGAAAUGGAGACCCAGUAAUGUUGAGUAACUUAAAUUCAACCAGAAAACAUUUAUUGAAUAUCUACGUGUGUCAGGCACUGUCUUGGGCACAGGGGAUACCACAGGAUUGAAACUGACAAGGCAAAACUGCCCAUGAUCACAGAGCUGGGGGAGGCAGCCUCAGGAUGAAAGUGUAUGGGACUCCCAGGUAUGAGCUCUGACCUGUUGUACUGCAUCCCUGCUCAAGGCCACAUCAAGGAUUUUGAAUAAAAUAAACAACGGCACCCGGGGCACUUUUAGAACUGGCAAAGUGCACCUGGAGUUAAGCACCCACCUUUUGCACCUUCUCAGUUGUUUUGAAUAAGAUUCCAAUUCAUAAAAAUGCAUCUGACAUUUGUUGAGCCCCGACCGUGGGCCAGGUGGACUUUGCUGCCUUCUCAUGGUGGAUUAUUUUGGCAGUUCCUCAAGACAGAUGCACCUUUUGCACAUGAGGAAAUUGGACUUGGAGAAGUGACCUGAUUUGCCCAGGGAUGCUCAGUGGGCAGGUGGAAUGGGGGCUUGGACCAGAACCAAGCACACUGGCUGCCUUCUGUGGGUUGUGCCCUGCUCCUGCCAACCUGGGUCUUGAAUCUGCUUGGAAGUACAGUUGGCAGUAACUCACCCAGGGGUGUAAUCCUCUCUCCCACAUAAGACAUCUGGCUGGGGGAGAAGGAGGGUGAUCACUCUGCUCCGUCAUCGCAUUCCAUCAUUUACCGCUUCAAACUGUCCUGUUUAAACCUCUUCUCUUCCUACCCAGAGAUGGACCUCCACAUUUACUUCAAGGGCUGAUGAGCAAACCACUGUCUCCAGCUGCCUCCUGCGCAGGUGCCCCAGGGGCUUGCACUGUCCCCAUGCACUCACUACAUACUCACGGGGAGACACUCCUGGGGCACCUAGCACCUGCCCAGUGCAGUGCCUGUCCAGGGCUGGGGUCAGGGACCGAGAGACCUUUGCAGAAUAGUGCCUGGUUUGAGUUGUCCCCAGGUACAGAGGGAGGUCAGGAGACAGGAGAAUGGCAGGAGGGAGGCUGGCGAGGAGCCAGGGCCUGGUCCAGGGCUGGUGCCGACCUCAGAGUGUGAACCGCAUGCUGUGGGCCUUUGGAGGCUUAGAAGCCAUGGGGGAAGUGACCCAGGCCUCUGCUGAUUCCAGGUUCCCAAAGACACAGCUGACAAGCCUCACCCUGGAAGGGGCUUCUUUGAGGGUUGAGAAGAACAAAGCGGGAGGAACUGUUUUGUCUUCGUGGCUGAAACGAUUUGCAGCCCCAAAGGAGCAGCAAUGCACAGCUCAUCCGAGAAAGCAUAAACCGCUGAGAACAUUCUCCCCUUCCGAGGGUCCUUUGAGAAUGAACAAGCCCCAGUGUACCGGAAACACAGUGCGGACCCCUGGAUGCCACCUUGUAAACAGGGCCGGGGGCAUGUCCAGCUCUGCUCUACAACAAUCGCCCUGUGUUGUGGGGGAGUGUGGACAGACCCCAUGCUCCCAUUCACUGGAAGGCAAGCGAGUUAAGUUUCCUGGACUUCUUCUGAGCACCAUUAUCUGGGGGUAGCGGGCGUAGCCUCCAGAGCCUUGGCCUGUGCAGGUGUUUGCCCCGCACUUGACACUCCCCAACAGGGCGACGUCUCAGGUUUCCGAGGCGGAACUCCAUUCCUGCAGCCCCACCAGGCUCGCCGAAAGCCUGGGCACCAACAUGCCUCGGGGAGGGCUGAGCCCCAGGCCCGGGCAGGGGUGCCUAGCAGACCCUGGCAUGUAUGUCCUCCUGGCUCACCUGGGGCACCCUGCCUUCCUGUUAGUGUUGUUCUGUCCAGCUCUGUGACCGCCCCACUCUCAACAACGAGGCAGCCUGUGGUCCUCACUGGCCAAAUGGACUCUCCUCUGGGAGUUUGAAUCUGUAGCAGCCACCCAGAGAAGAGGGUGGGUGGACUCCCAGGAGCUCCCAGCCCUCUGAAGCCCAUUUUCAUUAUGGACUAUCCAGUAUCCUCCCAACAUUUGCCUUAAGUUUCCACCAAAAAUCUUAAAUGGAACAGAAGAUUUGGGGCAAUGACAUUCACCAGGGUGUCUCUCAGACACACGCUGAUGGGACCAUGGAGGGCCUCAUGGAGGCGGGGUCUUUUCCUCUGGGCUCUGACAGAUAAAGGCAUUGAGAGGUGAAGUAGGGAGGGGUAACGCUGCUGCCAGGUGGGAAGAUGGGGCCCCAGCAGUUGCUGGCUCCUCCGUGCAGCCCCCUGACCUCCUGCCAGAAGGGGGGCAAGGGGGGAGCCCUCCUGAGCCAGGGGCCAUGCUUGGUGUGUCUCCUUUGACCGAAGUCACAGGACUGUUCCACCCAGAACAGCAGGGAUGGGGGAGCCUGGGCACCAGCAUGUCUUCGGAGGGCUGAGCCCCAGGCCAGGGCAGGGGUGCCCCAUGUCACCAUCCCUCAACCCAGCAUGGCAGACUGUGACCAUUUGCCUCAGUUUCUCUAAUGCCAUCUGCUCUUCACCUGAGUCAAGGGGAUAAACAAUUUAGAAAAACAAAGCCCCCGAAAAAUGCAAUCUCAGCAUUAGGCAUGGUGUUAUAAUAGAGACAGCAUACAAGAGACUGAAUUCUAGAAGCUGCAAUCAACAGGCCGACUCCCUCCCCGGGGGCAUCAGGGGCUGCCAGGUGUAUCUUGGGCCCACUUACGCAUGGGCAUUUCAGAGGUCACAGGAGGUGAAAAAGCAGGCUUGGCUUCAGGUUUAAGGACCAAGAGAGACUCACCAUGCUGUUGCCCCAAAUGGUCACUUUCAAACCCACCAGUGUCCUCCAAAAGAGCUGCUUAUAUUUUUAAACACCAGGGUCAAAUGUUUUAACAAUAAAUUCUUGUCCCACGGUGAAUAAUUCGCUUUAGUUUCUGUGGGAUUAGUAGUCAUGGAAAGCUAGAGCUUUCCUUGCCUGUACUAACUGUCACUUCUGAUGCACUAAGGACAGGAUUAGGUACAGCCAGAUGACAUUUAUAUACAACAAUUUUUCUGCUAAUAAAAUACCCUACAGAUUCUUAUGCAGCCCCAGCUUCACAUGUCAGAGACUGAAAAUAGCUCUAAUCCUGACUCUCCCUCCACCCCCAGAAUGAGAAGAGCAUCUUUUUAACCCCCAUUUAACAGUAGAGGAAGCCGAGGUUCAGAGAUGGCAGCAGGGAGCUCCCCGACUCCCAUGGCCAGCCGAACAGGGACUGAAACCCAGGUCUACCCUCGGGGAGGUGACAGGCACCCUCCCACCCUCCUCCCUCUUUCCUUUGAAGGUUCAGUUCCAGAUCUUGCCCUGGGUUGAAGCAAGAGAUAGUUAAAAAACAACAACAACAACAAAAAAGAGUAAUAUGAGACCUCACCAUUCCCAGAACACACUUAGCUUACAUUUUCAGGUGUUGGAAGCCCCGGAGCCUCACAGCGGACCACGCCCGCUGCCAGGAGCUGCAGCGAUUCCCCUUUUGUGGUCAGGGAGGCCGUGGAGCCCUGGGUGACCCUGUGACUUCCCAGGCUGCAGGUGGGAUUGAGCCAGGCACUGCGCACGCAGCACUUUGAGCCGCUGGCCCAGGCCAGGCUCCAGAGAUGGGAGCUCCGCGGGUUCACAGUCGUCUGUGACAGCAGAGCUGAGGGGAGGACGCAGACCCUGGCCUGACCUUGGGCUACCUCUCAGGGUUAGGCCACUGCCUCUGCUGCAGACCCAGGCGGCGCCCAAAGCCUGGGCGUCCCUCCGCUGCAGUGAAAGGGAAAAGAAAACGGGGCUGCGGUAAUGCCUGGAGCCAAAAUCUCAGGGAGAAGCCCAGCUCCCGACACCUACCCUCUUAAAGUCCAGUUGGAUUGAAUGAGGCUAAAGGAAGUAACAGGAACCCCGGCCUGGAGGAAGGAACACGUGCUAUGGGCCUCAGAGGGUGGCAGAGGAGGUCUGCAGGGGCGAGAAUCUCGGACAGAGCCGAGGCACAGGUGAGCGGUGCCCGGCACAGCAGCCUGGUAGAUGGGAUUGGGGCGGACAGCGGGGGAGAGCGGAGAGGGGUCCGCCUGGGUUCACACCCCAACACCCACCAGGAGCCCCGGGAACCAGUCAGGCCCCCAGCCCAAUCCCAGUUUCCCCAGGCCACUGCUGGAACAAAAAGCCUCACUGCAGACAAUGGGCCCUUUCUGCAGAUGCCCGCUCGGGGCUAGGCACAAUCGCUGAUUCAUAAGCCAGGCAAGGCCCCACAAUACCCAGGCUGUGUCCAAGAAGGACACCGACGGGAACUCGGAGAGGCCAGUGUCUUUGGUGGGGAAAGGCUGCCCCCUGGUGGUCUACAGGGGCAGUGCGCAUGACCAGGGCUCCCAGACUUCAGGCAAGGAUGAUGGAGGAGAGACACGGCUUAGAAGUCAUCCCACCAUAUGGACGGGGAAACUGAGUCCCAGAGACAUGCAGAGACUUGGCUCGGACUGUUUUCUUCAAUGUGAGAUAGGAUUUGAAGGGGGAAAGUGAAGGAGUUAUUUCGCCUGAUGUGUUAAGUGCGGAGUGAGGUAGGUGGGAUUUAGAGGGGAAAGCGAAGAAGGAGUUAUUUCACUCAAAGUGCGGAGUGACGAAGAUGAAGGAACACGAGGUAGCCGGGCAGUGGGUGCUGAGUUGGCUGACACUGGCUUCCUUCCAGAGCGCAGGGACGCAUCCUUCCGAACCUCGCAUUCAGUGACGUCACCUUGGUGAUUUGAAGUCGGCCAUGGUGGAAGUAUUUACACCAUGGACAUCAGCAAAUGCAACCAAGACCUCCCGCUACCCUGGAGAGCUGGGUUUAAGACAUUUGCCAGCACACCACUGCCCAGGGACCAGUCUCAGCUCCAGAGCUGUGGGUUAUUGGUAAAGGAUGUGAUUUCAUUGAGCCUCAGUUUCUGUAUCUGUAAAGCAGGAAUCUAUCACUUAUGAAAUAUCCUGUGCAGGCACAAUCUUAGGUGUGGAGGAUACAAUACAACGUAAGUAAGAUAAAAGUAUCCACCUGUGUGGAGCUUGUAUUUUGGUGGGGAGACAAAAUAAACAAGGGAACUAUAACGCUAUGUCAUGUCAUAAUACAUGCAAUGAUGACAAAGCCAGGUGAAAAGGCGAUGAUGGUCAUUAAGUUCAAGAUGGGGAGGGGUUGGGGUGAGGGCUGGCCUGUCUGAGGAGGGGCAUUUGCAGUGCUGGAGCAAGCCAUGGAGGACAGGAAUUGCUCCAGUCAGAGGAACAGCAAGGACAAGGGGCCCAAGACGGCAUGUGCUAGCGGCUCCAUGCAUAGAAAAAGCCAGCCAUCCCCAGCACUGUAACUGAGUGGCCAGUGGUGGGAGAAUUGGGAUAUUGGCUUUUUCCUGCCUCGACACUACAACUACACCAUCGGCUCUCCUGGUUCUCAAGCCUUCAGACAUGGACAGGAACCACACUAUUGGCUCUCCUCGGUCUUCAGCUUGCCAACUCAAUGCAGAUCUUUGCAUUUGUCAGCCUUAUAACCAUGUGUUUCCAGAAGAGAUUCGCAGGUGAAUCAGUGGACAGAGUAAGGCAGCUCCACCUUCAGCUCAGGCAGCAUCCUACACGUUGAGGGCCCGGACAGAACAAAAAAGGCAGAGGAAAAAAAGACAGGUAAGAAGGAGAAAAAAACAAAAAAAAAGGAAAAGGGAACAUGUUAAAAUCAGAAACAGAUUCACCUUCUCUAACUGCUGAAUUGUUCAGACGCAGAGCAAUGGAGUAUUCUCUGCAGCAGAGGAGCGUCUGCCUGUGUCCACACCUCUGGACAAUACCCGUAAACUUGGGCAUUUGUGCAAAUCCGCUCCAACAGUGAACGUUGCCUGCAAUACACAGCAGACCAGACUCAUCCUGGCGGGGUGAUGAAGCACACAUAAACCCCAUUAUCCAGCUAUUUCAGCUACUUGGCUUCUGGAAACUAACAAUGACUCCUUCUCUCUUUUUUUCACUGUCAUCUUGAAAAGUCUACACAGGGAUUGCCCCGCCUGCUGAAACUCUAACAGGUGGCACAAGAACGUUCACUCGGAGUCUAUUUAGAGCAUAAGCUGCUAUUUACCUUUGUCCACACUAUUUACUCCAUACCAGCUGAGAAAGAAUUUUGAUGUCAAAGACUGACACCUGAAUUCCAUCAAUUUUCCAAUUUUCUUUCUGGGCCAACCAUGUCCAAUUGGCCUGUGCAAGCAGUCGAGGAGGGGACUGUGAUGGCGGCCCCGCUCUAGCCAGUCUGCUCUCCACGUUUUCAUCCUGAGAGCGCAGCUGGUAGAUCUGUUUCCAGGGCAUCCUGCAGCGGGCGCGUGAGUCACGAAAUCAGUCACACAAAUGACCCACCACAUAUAAAAAAGCCACCAAUACAUCAACAGGCCUUAAAACCGAGCAGCAGUUGCAAUAGCUCCUAGAUCAGCGGCAGUAAGCAGCAGAGGCGGCCCAGCAUAGACCCCGGGAGCAGGCCAGGCGGGCGCUGUGCUGCUGAUUUAUGCCUCCACUUCAUUCUCUAUUCAAGGUAUGAAACGUUCUGAACAGCAGAUGCUAAAAAAUGAAAAAAGAUUGCCAUAACAAUAUGAAAGCAGGGUGCCGGGCUAUCAAGAGGGGAAUAUUUAUGUCCCUAGGGAGAUCAUUCUCACAACAUCUUAUCCAUGUGUCAUCUGGCAGGGCAUGCGGGGCGGGCGGAUGGUGGGAGAAGUGGCCACUUCGCCCCCUGCAGCACAUCAGUGAGAGCCAGUCCUGCUCCAAUCGGAGGUCCCCUUGUCAUAGGCCUGUCCCCAACAUGUACAGGACCCCUCCAUUUGAUGUCACUGAAGGAGUUGAUCAAUAGUUAUCUUAGACUUGGCAUCUGAAGACCGGUUUCAAGUCCCAGCUAUGCCUUUUAGCUGUGUGACAUUGGGCCAGCCAUUUGCCCUUUCUGAGCCUCGGUUUCCCCAUCUGUACAAUAGAUUCAAUGAUCCUUGGCUCACAACGAGUUGGAGACCUGGAUACAAACAUGCUCUGAAAACGGAGGGUGCCCAGGGAGCCAUGGGAGGACCACACACAGAGGACUGAAGAGCAAAUUCUCCUCCUCUUUUUGCAAACCUGUUGACCUGAAGAGGCUCUGCUGGAGGCCAGGAGGAGGGAGGGUGAUGGAGCACUGAGAAUUAGCAGCACUGGGGCAUCUGGCCAUGUCUAGACCAUCAGGAGAGGGGGUUGCUUCGGGCUCCAGGUAGAGCCUCAUGCUGGAUCCUUUCCAGCUAGACUCCAGGGGU